rnacentral:rRNA from 1 species
GAUCCUGGCUCAGGACGAACGCUGGCGGCGUGCCUAACACAUGCAAGUCGAACGGAGAUAGUUAAUGAAGCUUGCGAUUUAGCUAUCUUAGUGGCGAACGGGUGAGUAACGCGUGGGUAACCUGCCCUUAAGACCGGGACAACAGCUGGAAACGGCUGCUAAUACCGGAUGUAUUAUCUGAGAGGCAUCUCUUAGAGAAGAAAGCUGGCCUCUGAAAAUGCUAGCGCUUAGGGAUGGACCCGCGUCUGAUUAGCUAGUUGGUGGGGUAAAGGCCUACCAAGGCGACGAUCAGUAGCCGGCCUGAGAGGGUAAACGGCCACACUGGGACUGAGACACGGCCCAGACUCCUACGGGAGGCAGCAGUGGGGAAUCUUCCGCAAUGGACGAAAGUCUGACGGAGCAACGCCGCGUGUAUGAAGAAGGCCUUCGGGUUGUAAAAUACUGUUGUUAGGGAAGAACGGCAUCUGUGUAAAUAAUGCAGGUGAUUGACGGUACCUAACGAGGAAGCCCCGGCUAACUACGUGCCAGCAGCCGCGGUAAUACGUAGGGGGCAAGCGUUGUCCGGAAUCAUUGGGCGUAAAGGGCGCGUAGGCGGGCUUAUAAGUCUGAUGUGAAAGUGCGGAGCUUAACUCCGUAAAGCAUUGGAACUGUAAGUCUUGAGGACAGGAGAGGAAGUGGAAUUCCACGUGUAGCGGUGAAAUGCGUAGAGAUGU